GACGAACGCUGGCGGCGUGCUUAACACAUGCAAGUCGAACGGAAAGGCCCUGCUUGCCGGGUGCUCGAGUGGCGAACGGGUGAGUAACACGUGGGUGAUCUGCCCCUUACUUUGGGAUAAGCCUGGGAAACUGGGUCUAAUACUGGAUAGGACCAUGCUGUAGGUGGUGUGGUGGAAAGAUUAGUUUCGGUAAGGGAUGAGCUCGCGGCCUAUCAGCUUGUUGGUGGGGUAAUGGCCUACCAAGGCGUCGACGGGUAGCCGGCCGGAGAGGGUGGACGGCCAAAUUGGGACUGAGGGACGGCGCAGACUCCUACGGGAGGCAGCAGUGGGGAAUAUUGCACAAUGGGAGCAAGCCUGAUGCAGCGACGCCGCGUGGGGGAUGACGGGCUUCGGGUUGUAAGCUCCUUUCAGCCAUGACGAAGCGCUUGUGGUGACGGUAGUGGUAGAAGAAGCACCGGCUAACUACGUG
rnacentral:rRNA from 1 species